GAUAAAACAAACAAAAAAUGCAGAAUGAUUGGCCUUAGAAAAGUUAGUGUGGAUCUGUGACUCAAAACAGAGAGAGAGAAAGGGAUUCACACACUUGCCGCAAUGGUGCAAUGGUGACUCCACAGAUUCCUGGUUUCCAAGAGGUAGGCAACACACUGCACUCCACCUAGUUGUACUGUAUGUAGGUCUUGGCUGCAUGAAAGUCAAUAAAAGGGAGUCCAACUUGCAAGAGAAUCAUCUAGCUGAUGUUUAAGGGGAAUCUGGUAUCAAAAUUUCCUGUGUAUUUGUUGAAUGAAAUCGAAGUAAAGCAGAAUCGGAUAAGGCAAUUUGGGUAUUAUUCGGAGCACAAAGUUUGAUUCUAGGAACGGUAUGUACAUAUUGAGUAAGUAGGGUAAUAAUGUAGGGAAGCGUCAUCAAUCCAAGGAUAUUCUGACAUUUCAUCCCUUGUUCGUAUUCCCUGAUUCACAAUUUUCUCAUGCUCGAUUUAGCAUUCUAUAUUCAUAUUCACUUCUCGCUAGCGACUCUGUUCCCCCGACGCUUAAUAGUGGAAUCGUGUUACGUUUCAAUCCUGUAAAAGUAGUGCUACAAAGUAACAAAAAAUAUUGACCUCUAGUUUUUUUUUUUUUUUGUUUUUUUGUUUUUGCUGAGUGACCUCUAUUGUUUGUCAACAAUAACGGUUAACUUUUGCUUUGGCAAAAAAUAAAAAGGGUUGGUUAUUAAUA